AGUAGGGGUUGGAAUAUUAGGCCUAGCAUGCUCUAAACCCCAUUUAUAAGCAUUAUAAACAGUUUGAGCAUUAACUUUAAUUGAUGCUUUCGCAUCAGCUAGUGUAGCAAUUUCUACUUCUGAAAGAUCUAAAUAUUGAUAAAUAGUAGAAUACCAAAAGUGAGGACCUCCUAAUUUCAUAGUUGGAUUUAACAUAGCAGACACACCAAAAAUAUGAGGGAUUGGAAAAAAAUAUUUUUUAAACUUCUUUUUCAUUUCAGUUAUUGCAAGUUCAUAAAUGUCCC
rnacentral:lncRNA from 1 species